CAGCCAUGCCGAUGAAGUCACUGAACGCCGACGAACCUCUGGGUCAGGUGCCGGCAGGAAUCAUCACCGGAGAAGUCCACAUCCAGCACACGGUUCUGGGAACCUGAUGUGCACUUCGUGUUGUUGUUGGCAACGAACAUAAUGGCUCAGAACAGAUCCUCUGGGAUGUUGAGACCCAGGAUCACCCCUUUCUACUGCUCACCCUUACUGAGGAUACGCAUCUGUGAUAAUGAACCUGGCUGCCUUUGCUGUUACCCUGAGGCUGGACUGUUCCCUUCCCUUCCUUUCUGUAGCCCUUGGUUGAAGCCUCAACUGCGACCUUUCGCAUGGAGCCUCGUCUGUUCUCGCUGUCAAGUUCCACCGCCGGAGCAAGAACUUCCUGUGUCUAGCCCUUGGCUGGAGCCUCGCCUGCGUCCUCGCCUAUUCUCGCUGUUAAGUUCUACCGCCAGAGCAAGAAUGGAGCCUACCUGUGUCUAGGAAUGGCUCAAACUGUUCCUCAACAAACUGUGGUCCGUUGUAGUGUUCUGGAGCACUAGACCUUGAAAAGAGGCAUCUCAACACAUCAACAGUGUGUGAGGUUGUUGAGAACAUUUCUGGCCACAUCUGCUACUGGCAAGCAACUUCUGCCCAUGAACAGUCUUGCAAACUCCAUACGAAUCCUCUUCCAGGGCAAUGCAGGCCAUUCCCAGGGAUGGAGAGGGGCAGCUCCUGGCAUCUUUUUGAUGUGUUGGCAUCCCGAAUAGGGCAUGACAAGCUGCUCAAUCUGCUGAUCUAUCCCAGGCCACCAGACAAAGCUUCGAACCAACACUUCAUUGUGGCUGUCAAGUAGCUCUUCCAGCACUUCAGCUCUCAGUUUGGAUGGUAGUAACAACUCUCAAUUCUCCGCCUAAGGCAAACCCCAACAAGGGCAAGUUCAUCCUGGCACUGGUUUGCAUCAGGGAGAAUCUAUCAAGAGGAGUGUCCUCUUUUGUAAAUUUUUCAGAUAUUUUCUUUUCCGAGGAUAAACAGGACAAUCCAUAAGCAUUUCCAUGAUCAGUUGACAUCCUGAAUUCAAUCUUGUAAUUGCAUCCUCCAAGAAUCAGAGCCCAUCUCUGCAUUUGUGUUACUGCUCUUGGUGGAACACCCUUCUGUGGAUUGAAAUUGGACACUAGUGUUUGAUCAGUAAUGAGUGUAAACUCUCUCCAUACAAUCACUGGUUGAAACACUUUAUACCCCAACCCAAACUCAAGGCUUCUCUGUCGGUCUGUUCAUAAUUUUUCUCUGCAGCAGUAAAAGAACGUGAUGCAAAAGGCUAUGGGGCGUUCACUUCCAUCACAUGUGACGUGAUGGCACCUAUACAUUUGGUAUAGCUAUAGGCACUUUCACAGGCAAGUGAUGUGGAUAGUAAUGUGUCAGUACUGUGUCUGAUGUCACCAUUUCCUUAAUCUUUCGGAAAACUACCUCACACUGCUUUGUCCAUUGCCAUUUCUUCCUGAUCCAUAAUAAUGAGUUCAAGGGGUGGAACGCAGUUGGAAUUUUGGCAGGAACCUGUUUUAUAUUCUAUGUUCUGUGUUGUGUUGUAGAAAGGUUGUCAAUAAGCAAGAAAGAGUGGAAAGAAAACUUAUGAACGUGAGGGCCUGACUUAAAGGGAAAGAUUGGGCAGACAAGGAUUUUAAGCCUUGGAGGAUACGAGGAAGAAAGGUUACCUUACAGAGGUCUAGAAAUCCAUGAGGGGCAGAGACAGUGAAUACACACAGACUUUUCCCGGGAAAAAGGGAAACAAAGACUGGAAAACGUGGGUUUAACUUGAGAAGGAAAAGAUUUAAAAGGGACUGGGGGUGGGGUGUCAACUUCUUUAAGCAGUGGCUGGUGAGUAUAUGGAAUGAGAUGUCAGGAAGUGGUUGAGGCAGGCACAAUAAUAACAUUCAAAAGGCAGCUGGACAGGUACGUGGAUAGGAAUGUUUAGAGGAAUAUGGUCAUCUUGGUCAACAUGGAUGAGUUGGGCCAAAGGGCUUGUUUCUAUGCUGCACAACUCCAUCCUCCCCCUCCCCGUACAACUCCAUCCUUCCCCUCCCCCAUACAACUCUAUCCUUCCCCCCCAUACAACUCCAUC